rnacentral:snoRNA from 1 species
CGAUCCAAUGAUGAAAGUAUGCCAUGAAACAAGGAUUAUUCUUAAUCCAAUUCUGUAUACCUGACAUCCUU